UCCGGCGUGGUCUAGUGGCUAGGAUAUCUGGCUUUUCACCCAAGAAGGCCCGGGUUCGAUUCCCGGCGUCGGAA
rnacentral:tRNA from 1 species